GAUGAACGCUGGCGGCGUGCCUAAUACAUGCAAGUCGAGCGAACGGACGAGAAGCUUGCUUCUCUGAUGUUAGCGGCGGACGGGUGAGUAACACGUGGAUAACCUACCUAUAAGACUGGGAUAACUUCGGGAAACCGGAGCUAAUACCGGAUGAUAUUUUGAACCGCAUGGUUCAAAAGUGAAAGACGGUCUUGCUGUCACUUAUAGAUGGAUCCGCGCUGCAUUAGCUAGUUGGUAAGGUAACGGCUUACCAAGGCAACGAUGCAUAGCCGACCUGAGAGGGUGAUCGGCCACACUGGAACUGAGACACGGUCCAGACUCCUACGGGAGGCAGCAGUAGGGAAUAUUCCGCAAUGGGCGAAAGCCUGACGGAGCAAAGCCGCGUGAGUGAUGAAGGUCUUCGGAUCGUAAAACUCUGUUAUUAGGGAAGAACAUAUGUGUAAGUAACUGUGCACAUCUUGACGGUACCUAAUCAGAAAGCCACGGCUAACUACGUG
rnacentral:rRNA from 1 species